rnacentral:rRNA from 1 species
UACGGGGGGGGCAAGCGUUGUUCGGAAUUACUGGGCGUAAAGGGCUCGUAGGUGGCCAACUAAGUCAGACGUGAAAUCCCUCGGCUUAACCGGGGAACUGCGUCUGAUACUGGAUGGCUUGAGUUUGGGAGAGGGAUGCGGAAUUCCAGGUGUAGCGGUGAAAUGCGUAGAUAUCUGGAGGAACACCGGUGGCGAAGGCAGUUCUCUGGGCCGUAACUGACGCUGAGGAGCGAAAGCGUGGGGAGCGAACAGG